AGGGCACCACCAGGAGUGGAGCCUGCGGCUUAAUUUGACUCAACACGGGAAAUCUCACCAGGCCCGGACACCGGUAGGAUUGACAGAUUGAGAGCUCUUUCUUGAUUCGGUGGGUGGUGGUGCAUGGCCGUUCUUAGUUGGUGGAGCGAUUGGUCUGGUUAAUUCCGAUAACGAACGAGACUCUGGCCUACUAGCUAGACGUUAGAUCCCUUUGUGGGUCUAUCGCAGCUUCUUAGAGGGACGGGCGGCGUUUAGCCGCACGAGAUUGAGCAAUAACAGGUCUGUGAUGCCCUUAGAUGUUCUGGGCUGCACGCGCGCUACACUGAAGGAAUCAGCGUGUGUUCCCUACCCGAAAGGGUUGGGAAACCCGUUGAACCUCCUUCGUGAUGGGGAUUGGGGAUUGCAAUUAUUCCCCAUGAACGAGGAAUUCCCAGUAGGCGCGAGUCAUAAGCUCGCGUCGAUUACGUCCCUGCCCUUUGUACACACCGCCCGUCGCUACUACCGAUCGAGUUAUUUAGU
rnacentral:rRNA from 1 species